rnacentral:rRNA from 1 species
UACGGAGGGUGCAAGCGUUAUCCGGAUUCACUGGGUUUAAAGGGUGCGUAGGUGGGUCGGUAAGUUAGUGGUGAAAUCUCCGAGCUUAACUUGGAAACUGCCAUUGAUACUAUCGAUCUUGAAUACUGUGGAGGUCAGCGGAAUAUGUCAUGUAGCGGUGAAAUGCUUAGAUAUGACAUAGAACACCAAUUGCGAAGGCAGCUGGCUACACAAAUAUUGACACUGAGGCACGAAAAGCGUGGGGGAUCAAACAGG